GGCCACAUUCGUGGGACCUAGUUUUACAAGGAAGCCUCCAAAGUACGAGCGAUUCAUUCGCCCGACAGGCUUGCGGUUUACCAAAGCCCAUGUUACACACCCUGAGCUGAAGUGCACAUUUAACCUAGAGAUAAUAGGAGUGAAGAAAAAUCCCAAUGGUCAGAUGUACACUUCUUUGGGUGUUAUCACCAGGGGAACCGUCAUUGAGGUGAAUGUUAGUGAACUUAAUCUAGUUACUCCAGCUGGGAAAGUUGUGUGGGGUGAGAGAUUCUUCUUCCUGAUUCCUAUUUUGUUUACUUUGUUUCAUAUUUUCUUCUGCUAAUGUGGUUUGAUGGUUGCAGGAAAAUACGCUCAAGUUUCAAAUAACCCAGAGAAUGAUGGUUGUAUCAAUGCUGUUCUGCUUGCCUAGAAGAAUUUUUUAACGCUUUGUACCCUUGUGCCCUUAUAGAGAACUUUUGUAACAUGAGAGCAGUCCAAACUGUACUGAACAAUACAGAUUCUCCUGUUCCAGUUCAAAAAGUGGUUUUGCAAGGGACAGAUCCUAAUUUUGAGUACGUAGUAUGUUUUUU